UACGUAGGGGGCAAGCGUUGUCCGGAUUUAUUGGGCGUAAAGAGCGUGUAGGCGGCCAGACAGGUCCGUUGUGAAAACUAGAGGCUUAACCUCUAGACGUCGAUGGAAACCGUCUGGCUAGAGUCCGGAAGAGGAGAAUGGAAUUCCCGGUGUAGCGGUGAAAUGCGCAGAUAUCAGGAAGAACACCCGUGGCUAAGGCGGUUCUCUAGUACGGUACUGACGCUGAGACGCGAAAGCGUGGGGAGCGAACAGG
rnacentral:rRNA from 1 species